CCCUUAGAGUUUGAUCCUGGCUCAGAUUGAACGCUGGCGGAAUGCUUUACACAUGCAAGUCGAACGGCAGCACGGGGGCAACCCUGGUGGCGAGUGGCGAACGGGUGAGUAAUACAUCGGAACGUGCCCAGUCGUGGGGGAUAACUACGCGAAAGCGUAGCUAAUACCGCAUACGAACUCUGGUUGAAAGCGGGGGAUCGCAAGACCUCGCGCGAUUGGAGCGGCCGAUGGCAGAUUAGCUAGUUGGUGAGGUAACGGCUCACCAAGGCGACGAUCAGUAGCUGGUCUGAGAGGAUGAUCAGCCACAUUGGGACUGAGACACGGCCCAAACUCCUACGGGAGGCAGCAGUGGGGAAUAUUGGACAAUGGGCGAAAGCCUGAUCCAGCCAUGCCGCGUGAGUGAUGAAGGCCCUAGGGUUGUAAAGCUCUUUUGUGCGGGAAGAUAAUGACGGUACCGCAAGAAUAAGCCCCGGCUAACUUCGUGCCAGCAGCCGCGGUAAUACGAAGGGGGCUAGCGUUGCUCGGAAUCACUGGGCGUAAAGGGUGCGUAGGCGGGUUUUUAAGUCAGGGGUGAAAUCCUGGAGCUCAACUCCAGAACUGCCUUUGAUACUGAGGAUCUUGAGUUCGGGAGAGGUGAGUGGAACUGCGAGUGUAGAGGUGAAAUUCGUAGAUAUUCGCAAGAACACCAGUGGCGAGGCGGCUCACUGGCCCGAUACUGACGCUGAGGCACGAAAGCGUGGGGAGCAAACAGGAUUAGAUACCCUGGUAGUCCACGCCGUAAACGAUGAAUGCCAGCCGUUAGUGGGUUUACUCACUAGUGGCGCAGCUAACGCUUUAAGCAUUCCGCCUGGGGAGUACGGUCGCAAGAUUAAAACUCAAAGGAAUUGGCGGGGGCCCGCACAAGCGGUGGAGCAUGUGGUUUAAUUCGACGCAACGCGCAGAACCUUACCAGCCCUUGACAUCCCGGUCGCGGACUCCAGAGAUGGAGUUCUUCAGUUCGGCUGGACCGGAGACAGGUGCUGCAUGGCUGUCGUCAGCUCGUGUCGUGAGAUGUUGGGUUAAGUCCCGCAACGAGCGCAACCCCCGUCCUUAGUUGCUACCAUUUAGUUGAGCACUCUAAGGAGACUGCCGGUGAUAAGCCGCGAGGAAGGUGGGGAUGACGUCAAGUCCUCAUGGCCCUUACGGGCUGGGCUACACACGUGCUACAAUGGCGGUGACAAUGGGAUGCUAAGGGGCGACCCUUCGCAAAUCUCAAAAAGCCGUCUCAGUUCGGAUUGGGCUCUGCAACUCGAGCCCAUGAAGUUGGAAUCGCUAGUAAUCGUGGAUCAGCACGCCACGGUGAAUACGUUCCCGGGCCUUGUACACACCGCCCGUCACACCAUGGGAGUUGGUUUUACCUGAAGACGGUGCGCUAACCCGCAAGGGAGGCAGCCGGCCACGGUAGGGUCAGCGACUGGGGUGAAGUCGUAACAAGGUAACCAAGGG
rnacentral:rRNA from 1 species